UUCUGGCGUCAGGAGUGAACGCUGGACAGAAUGCUUAACACAUGCAAGUCGAACUUGGAAUUGGGUUUUAACUUAGGUUUGGGUGGCGGACGGGUGAGUAACGCGUAAAGAACUUGCCUCACAGCUAGGGACAACAUUUGGAAACGAAUGCUAAUACCUAAUAUUAUGAUAAUAGGGCAUCCUAUAAUUAUGAAAGCUAUAAGCGCUGUGAGAGAGCUUUGCGUCCCAUUAGCUAGUUGGAGAGGUAACGGCUCACCAAGGCGAUGAUGGGUAGCCGGCCUGAGAGGGUGAUCGGCCACAAGGGGACUGAGACACGGCCCUUACUCCUACGGGAGGCAGCAGUGGGGAAUAUUGGACAAUGGACCAAGAGUCUGAUCCAGCCAAUUCUGUGUGCACGAUGAAGUUUUUCGGAAUGUAAAGUGCUUUCAGUUGGGAAGAAAGAAAUGACGGUACCAACAGAAGAAGUGACCGGCUAAAUACGUGCCAGCAGCCGC
rnacentral:rRNA from 1 species